UCUAAUAUGGCAGAUUAGUGCAAUGGAUUUAAACCCCAUACAUAAAACAAAAUUUUUGUUAGAA
rnacentral:tRNA from 1 species